rnacentral:rRNA from 1 species
UACGUAGGGGGCAAGCGUUAUCCGGAUUUACUGGGUGUAAAGGGAGCGUAGACGGCAGCGCAAGUCUGGAGUGAAAUCCCAUGGCUUAACCAUGGAACUGCUUUGGAAACUGUGCAGCUAGAGUGCAGGAGAGGUAAGUGGAAUUCCUAGUGUAGCGGUGAAAUGCGUAGAUAUUAGGAGGAACACCAGUGGCGAAGGCGGCUUACUGGACUGUAACUGACGUUGAGGCUCGAAAGCGUGGGGAGCAAACAGG